rfam:Aedes albopictus isolate Foshan contig69142, whole genome shotgun sequence.
UGCCCAGCAACUCCUAUCCCUACCUCCUCACGGUACCGGCCGGAAACUAUAAGCAACCUUAGGGAAGA